rnacentral:rRNA from 1 species
GUGAAUUGCAAUUCAGUGAAUCAUCGAGUCUUUGAACGCACAUUGCGCCCCCUGGUAUUCCGGGGGGCAUGCCUGUCCGAGCGUCAUUGCUGCCCUCAAGCACGGCUUGUGUGUUGGGCCCCGUCCUCCGAUCCCGGGGGACGGGCCCGAAAGGCAGCGGCGGCACCGCGUCCGGUCCUCGAGCGUAUGGGGCUUUGUCACCCGCUCUGUAGGCCCGGCCGGCGCUUGCCGAUCAACCCAAAUUUUUAUCCAGGUUGACCUCGGAUCAGGUAGGGAUACCCGCUGAACUUAAGCAUAUCAAUAAGCGGAGG